CCAGUACCUAUUUUUUUUUUUGUUUAUUUAUACGGGAUUUAAAUCACCGUAAAGCCAUUUUGUAUAAUAUAUAAAGAGAAAUAAUAAUCAAUACAACCAUGUAAAUAUGUUAUACAUAAUUAUAAUUCUCGUAAGGGGGACUUAAAAACGAUUUUCCAAAUUGUAUAUAAUUUUGUAAAAAAAAUUUUAAUCUUAAUAUAGCGCUUUUAAUCCACUGACCAUACCUUUUUAAGUGAUAAGUAUAGUACGGUCAUUUACUUAGAUAUGACGUUUUAUACCAAUAGGCUGGAAUGAAAUUCACCUCGUCUAGUUUUAAUUUUGAAAACGUUCUUGAAUUCUUUGAUUUAUUAUCCAUGUUUUAUAGGAAAUAUUUGUUCAUUUUUUUUUUUUUUUUUUAUUAUUAAAAUUCAUGAUGAGUUAUCUUUUUUUUUUCUGAAAAUAAACUAAUAAACUGAAAUUAAAAAGGAUAUUUUCUUUCUUUAGCUAUAACACAAAUGCACUGCUGCGUAGUAAUUUAAAUCAAUUUUCUGUCUAUCAUUACUUACAAAUCGAUGUAACGGAACAAUGGCCCAGGGAAUGGGAGCCUCAAUGCGAUUUUUAAAAUUUGUUUUCCUUAAAAAUUUGGUGUGCAAUCUCUGUAAUUGGUAUGAAUUUGUGUGACAGUUGACGAUUAAAUUCAAAAACAUUUUUAGAAUUCUCAUCGUUUCGCUACGUCGAUGGACAAUCAGACUGAUAUUGAUCAACGGUGGACAGAAAAUCGAGGUAUAAACUGUUAACAUCGCGGUAUAUUCCGAUGGGUAGACAAAUAAAGAAAAUAUCCGUUUCGAAUGCCAUUAAAACCAUAAAAGGGAAUCGGUAUACGCGUAACAAACGAAAUACAUUAUACGUUAUAUUGUCAAAACCGCACCACUAGUAGCGAUGGUCCAUCGAGGAAAAGAAAUUCGCCCGCUACCAAGUCACACACUGCUCAUAAUCGUAUACAUACAAACAAUAUAAGUACGAGUAUAUGAUAUAGUAGGUGUAUACACGAUGGCAAAACACAGAGACGAGACUAAUAUAUUUAUACUAUUAAUAUACUUGGACACGUGCCGGAAAUGGUCAUUCGAAACCACACGAAAUUAGUGUGUGUACCGCUUUACGUGACGCGAAAAAAUUCGUCAUAAUUUAUACGCGGCCGACCGUACGCAGCAUGCUGUCUCUAUAGAAUACGUAGUCUUCUGUUUUUUUGAAAAAUUUCGGGAAUUUAGGCAUU